rnacentral:rRNA from 1 species
ACGGGCUUCGGCCUGGUGGCGAGUGGCGAACGGGUGAGUAAUACAUCGGAACGUGCCCUGUUGUGGGGGAUAACCAGUCGAAAGAUUGGCUAAUACCGCAUACGACCUGAGGGUGAAAGCGGGGGACCGCAAGGCCUCGCGCAGCAGGAGCGGCCGAUGUCUGAUUAGCUAGUUGGUGGGGUAAAGGCCCACCAAGGCGACGAUCAGUAGCUGGUCUGAGAGGACGAUCAGCCACACUGGGACUGAGACACGGCCCAGACUCCUACGGGAGGCAGCAGUGGGGAAUUUUGGACAAUGGGGGCAACCCUGAUCCAGCAAUGCCGCGUGUGUGAAGAAGGCCUUCGGGUUGUAAAGCACUUUUGUCCGGAAAGAAAACCUCCGCCCGAAUACGGUGGGGGGAUGACGGUACCGGAAGAAUAAGCACCGGCUAACUACGUGCCAGCAGCCGCGGUAAUACGUAGGGUGCGAGCGUUAAUCGGAAUUACUGGGCGUAAAGCGUGCGCAGGCGGUUUGACAAGACAGGCGUGAAAUCCCCGGGCUUAACCUGGGAAUGGCGCUUGUGACUGUCA